rnacentral:tRNA from 1 species
GAUAAAAUGGCUGAGGUAUAGGCAAUAAAUUGUAAAUUUAUGAACGGAAUAAUCCUUUUAUCA